rnacentral:lncRNA from 10 species
GCUGGUCAGUGGGAACAUUCUAGUGUGUGACAUCUCCCUGGCAACAAGCUGAGUUCCUGGAAAACAACAAUCACAGAGAGACAGUCCACCACCUCUACCCUCUUAACUCUUCCUUAGAAAUCCUACUGUCUGCAGCUGGGAAUGAAUGGAAUGAAGGAUCUCACUCUGUUACCCAGGGUGGAGUGCAGGGGCAUGAACACGGAUCACUGCAGCUUCGACUUCCUGGCUCAAGCAAUCCUUCCACUUCCUGGCUCAAGCAAUCCUUCCACCUCAGCCUCCUAGGUACUGGGAUUACACUAACUGCAUCCUGGGCAAUAUCCCCAGCUGAAAGAUUACGCUUCCCAGCCUUCCUUGCAGCUAGACGUAGCCAUAUGACAAAAUGACGCCCAAUGAAGCAUACAUAGAAAAGUCAUGUGAGACUUCUGGAAAAGCUUCUGUAAAAGUGAGGAGCAGACACCCUUUUCUUUUUCUUCUCCUUUCUCUUGCUGUUGGCCUGGAAUGUGGACCUGAUGGAUGGAGCUCUGGCAAUCAUCUUGGAGUAUGAAGUGACCUUAAGGAUGAACAGAAAAGAAAAUGAGCCUGGGCCUUUAAUGACACAGUGGAGCUGCUCCCAGCUUGGCUACCUUCCUCUUAGUCUGCUUUUAUAAGAAAAUAUAUAUAUAUCUUGUUUAAGCACAAAUAUUUUGAGUUUUUCUGCUGUUUGUUGCUAAAAGUAAUUCUAAUUGUUCCAUAAGCCUUCUAGCACUAUUGCAUUUUUAAAUUAUGCAUUUUUUGAUCAAAAAUUAAAUUGUAAUGUUAAAAAAUAAAA